GGGUCUGUAGCUCAGGUGGUUAGAGCGCACCCCUGAUAAGGGUGAGGUCGGUGGUUCAAAUCCUCCCAGACCCACCA
rnacentral:tRNA from 1 species